AAAAAAAAAAAAAGGAGGAAUGCGGACUUUAAUUUAAAAGCGAAGACCAACGAAACGGUGUUCCGCUCGUCGUUCUUUCCAUGUUUUCCUUUUUCUUACUUUUCCGCGUGAAAAUAAGAAUGGAAAAUAUUAAUUACUAAUAAAUGCGUGGGGCAUGAGAUUGGUGGUUUAUAGCGGCGGAAGGGGAGAAGGGGAACGCCAGCAGCCGGCGGCCGGCGGUGGAGUGGGGAGGAGUGGCGGGAAAGAUAGAGGGCGUCUGGCGACAGCAAAGCUACUUGAAGCGGGAGCCCAUGAGCGAUGCCCGAUGGGCUGUGGCCGAGGCUGGGAGAGAGGGGCAACGAAGGAGAAAA
rnacentral:lncRNA from 1 species